GGGCUAAAGAGACUCUAGAUUCAACCUGUAAAGAAUUUGAGCAUUGGAUGAAGGGUGUGUGUGUGUGUGUGUGUGUGUGUGUCUGUGUGUGUGUCUGUGUGUUUGAGAGAGAGAGAGAGAGAGACUCAAUAGUGUCUGACUCAUUUGUGACCCCAUAAUCAGUAGCCUGCCAGGCUCCUCUAUCCAUGCAAUUUUCCCAGCAAGAAUACUGGAGCAGGUUGCCAUAUCCUCCGCCAGGGUAUCUUCCAGACCCAGGGAUGGAACACUUGUCUCCUGCAUCUCCUGCAGUGGCAAGUGGAUCCUUUACCACUUGUGCCAUCUGGAAAGCCACCAACGCAUCCAUUACAGCUGCCCUUAUCCAAUAGGUGUGGAAGAACGACCGCGACGCAUCUACGGACGUAAAUGUUGGAGCAGCCCACGCUGUGGGGAUUUUUCCGGGGAACCUCAGAAACGGAUGCUGUUCCCGAGGCUGUUUCUAAGUAGGAGUAGAUUAUUUCCCCCCAAAGACUAUGAACAGCUCCUUUGUCCAAAUCCGAGACACAGAAAUGCAUAGCUUCCCUCAAAGAGGACGUUAGAACCUCAUUUAUUUAGAGAGUCCCGAAGCCCUCGAGUAUCAGAGAAGUAAAGAUGAAAAGAUACCUUUAGGAUAUGUUCUGGGUGGCUAAACAGGUAGGCAGAAGAUAAAGAGAGUGGUUUUCUUCUGGAAGCUGUUUUGCUUCAGAAUUUACCGUCUUCUUGCUAAAAGUAUACAUAAUUGUUAACAGAAUUAAAAGACAAACUUUUGCCCAUAUAGAUGCGCCAUUUGAUCAAUAAAACCGAACACUAACUUCCUUUGGGAAGGAAAGAUAAAUCAAAGUGCUACCGCUGAUAUCUCAAUCAAGAUUUAAGAAAAAUUUCUCCCUCCCUAAGAUAGUUCAGUGUUGUUUUUCUUUUCUAACAUGAGUUCAGUUGAACAAAAGAUGUUAAGAUUGUAACGAAAACUCUGCAUGAUGUAAAUGUUCAAAGAAAGAAAUUCUAGAUUGAUUAUAUUCUGGGACCGCAAUUAUUACUAGAUAUCACUAAAACAGGAAUCAGAG
ensembl:lncRNA